UACAGAGGUCUCAAGCGUUGUUCGGAUUCAUUGGGCGUAAAGGGUGCGUAGGCGGCGCGGUAAGUCGGGUGUGAAAUCUUGGAGCUUAACUCCGAAACUGCAUUCGAUACUGCCGUGCUUGAGGACUGGAGAGGAGACUGGAAUUUACGGUGUAGCUGUGAAAUGCGUAGAUAUCGUAAGGAAGACCAGUGGCGAAGGCGGGUCUCUGGACAGUUCCUGACGCUGAGGCACGAAGGCCAGGGGAGCAAACGGG
rnacentral:rRNA from 1 species